UACGUAGGGUGCAAGCGUUAAUCGGAAUUACUGGGCGUAAAGCGUGCGCAGGCGGUUAUGUAAGACAGUUGUGAAAUCCCCGGGCUCAACCUGGGAACUGCAUCUGUGACUGCAUAGCUAGAGUACGGUAGAGGGGGAUGGAAUUCCGCGUGUAGCAGUGAAAUGCGUAGAUAUGCGGAGGAACACCGAUGGCGAAGGCAAUCCCCUGGACCCCGCCUGACGCUGAGACGCGAAAGCCAGGGGAGCGAACGGG
rnacentral:rRNA from 1 species